UACGUAGGGGGCAAGCGUUAUCCGGAUUUACUGGGUGUAAAGGGGGCGCAGACGGCAAUGCAAGCCAGGAGUGAAAGCCCGGGGCCCAACCCCGGGACUGCUCUUGGAACUGCAUGGCUGGAGUACAGGAGGGGCAGGCGGAAUUUCUAGUGUAGCGGUGAAAUGCGUAGAUAUUAGGAGGAACACCGGUGGCGAAGGCGGCCUGCUGGACUGUGACUGACGUUGAGGCCCGAAGGCGUGGGGAGCAAACAGG
rnacentral:rRNA from 1 species